AGAGUUUGAUCCUGGCUCAGGACGAACGCUGGCGGCGUGCCUAACACAUGCAAGUCGAGCGGGGAACUUCGGUUCCCAGCGGCGGACGGGUGAGUAACACGUGGGUAACCUGCCUUGUAGAGGGGGAUAGCCUUCCGAAAGGAAGAUUAAUACCGCAUAACAUUGCGCUGUCGCGUGACAGUGUAAUCAAAGGAGCAAUCCGCUACAAGAUGGACCCGCGGCGCAUUAGCUAGUUGGUAAGGUAACGGCUUACCAAGGCGACGAUCAGUAGCCGACCUGAGAGGGUGAUCGGCCACAUUGGAACUGAGACACGGUCCAAACUCCUACGGGAGGCAGCAGUGGGGAAUAUUGCACAAUGGGCGAAAGCCUGAUGCAGCAACGCCGCGUGAGCGAUGAAGGCCUUCGGGUCGUAAAGCUCUGUCCUCAAGGAAGAUAAUGACGGUACUUGAGGAGGAAGCCCCGGCUAACUACGUGCCAGCAGCCGCGGUAAUACGUAGGGGGCUAGCGUUAUCCGGAAUUACUGGGCGUAAAGGGUGCGUAGGUGGUUUCUUAAGUCAGAGGUGAAAGGCUACGGCUCAACCGUAGUAAGCCUUUGAAACUGGGAAACUUGAGUGCAGGAGAGGAGAGUGGAAUUCCUAGUGUAGCGGUGAAAUGCGUAGAUAUCUGGAGGAAUACCGGUGGCGAAGGCGGCAUCCUGGACCGACAUUGACGCUGAUGAGCGAAAGCUAGGGGAGCAAACGGGAUUAGAUACCCCGGUAGUCCUAGCCCUAAACGAUGAAUGCUUGGUGUAACGGGUAUCGAUCCCUGUUGUGCCGAAGCUAACGCAUUAAGCAUUCCGCCUGGGGAGUACGGUCGCAAGGCUGAAACUCAAAGGAAUUGACGGGGGCCCGCACAGCGGUGGAGCAUGUGGUUUAUUCGACGCAACGCGAAGAACCUUACCUAGGCUUGACAUGCAUGGGAAACUCUCAGAACGAGGAGCCUCUUUCGGGAUCAUGCACAAGUGCUGCAUGGCUGUCGUCAGCUCGUGUCUGAGAUGUUGGGUUAAAUCCCGCACACGACGCAAACCCUUUCUUUAUUUGCAAGCGAGUAUAGCGCGGGCACUCGGGAGUACUGCUGCGUGGGCACACUC
rnacentral:rRNA from 1 species